GAUGAACGCUGGCGGCGUGCUUAACACAUGCAAGUCGAACGAAGUCACUUUUGCUGAGGACCCUCGGGUUGAUUUAAAAGUGACUGAGUGGCGGACGGGUGAGUAACGGCGUGGGUAACCCUGCCUCACGACAGGGGGAUAACAGUUAGAAAUGACUGCUAAUACCGCAUAAGCGCACGGUCUCGCAUGGGACAGUAGUGAAAAACUCCGGUGGUGUGAGAUGGACCCGCGUCUGAUUAGCUAGGUUGGUGGGGUAACGGCCUACCAAGGCGACGAUCAGUAGCUGACCUGAGAGGGUGACCGGCCACAUUGGGACUGAGACACGGCCCAAACUCCUACGGGAGGCAGCAGUGGGGAAUAUUGCACGAAUGGGGGAAACCCUGAUGCAGCGACGCCGCGUGAUUGAAGAAGUAUUUCGGUAUGUAAAGAUCUAUCAGCAAGGAAGAAAAUGACGGUACUUGACUAAGAAGCCCCGGCUAACUACGUG
rnacentral:rRNA from 1 species